rnacentral:rRNA from 1 species
ACUCCUACGGGAGGCAGCAGUGAGGAAUAUUGGUCAAUGGGCGAGAGCCUGAACCAGCCAAGUAGCGUGCAGGAUGACGGCCCUAUGGGUUGUAAACUGCUUUUAUGCGGGGAUAAAGUGAGGGACGUGUCCUUCAUUGCAGGUACCGCAUGAAUAAGGACCGGCUAAUUCCGUGCCAGCAGCCGCGGUAAUACGGAAGGUCCGGGCGUUAUCCGGAUUUAUUGGGUUUAAAGGGAGCGUAGGCCGUGGAUUAAGCGUGUUGUGAAAUGCAGGUGCUCAACGUCUGCACUGCAGCGCGAACUGGUCCACUUGAGUGUGCGCAACGCAGGCGGAAUUCGUCGUGUAGCGGUGAAAUGCUUAGAUAUGACGAAGAACCCCGAUUGCGAAGGCAGCCGGCGGGAGCGCAACUGACGCUGAAGCUCGAAGGUGCGGGUAUCGAACAGGAUUAGAUACCCUGGUAGUCCGCACGGUAAACGAUGGAUGCCCGUUGUCAGGCUGUUUCAGCCUGGUGACCAAGCGAAAGCAUUAAGCAUCCCACCUGGGGAGUACGCCGGCAACGGUGAAACUCAAAGGAAUUGACGGGGGCCCGCACAAGCGGAGGAACAUGUGGUUUAAUUCGAUGAUACGCGAGGAACCUUACCCGGGCUUGAAUUGCAGACGAACGCGGCAGAGAUGCCAAGGCCCUUCGGGGCGUCUGUGAAGGUGCUGCAUGGUUGUCGUCAGCUCGUGCCGUGAGGUGUCGGCUUAAGUGCCAUAACGAGCGCAACCCCUUUUCUUAGUUGCCAUCAGGUAAUGCUGGGCACUCUGGGAAUACUGCCACCGUAAGGUGUGAGGAAGGUGGGGAUGACGUCAAAUCAGCACGGCCCUUACGUCCGGGGCUACACACGUGUUACAAUGGCCGGUACAGAGGGCUGGCGCUCCGCGAGGCGCGCCGAAUCUAUAAAGCCGGUCUCAGUUCGGACUGGGGUCUGCAACCCGACCCCACGAAGCUGGAUUCGCUAGUAAUCGCGCAUCAGCCAUGGCGCGGUGAAUACGUUCCCGGGCCUUGUACACACCGCCCGUCAAGCCAUGAAAGCCGGGGGUGCCUAAAGUCCGUUACCGCAAGGAUCGGCCUAGGGCAAAACUGGUAAUUGGGGCUAAGUCGUAACAAGGUAGCCGUACCGGAAGGUGCGGCUG